GGCGCACGGGUGAGUAACACGUAUGCAACCUGCCCUCUUCAGGGGGACAACCUUCCGAAAGGGAGGCCAAUCCCGCGUAUAUCGGUUUCGGGCAUCCGUUAUCGAGGAAAGAUUCAUCGGAAGAGGAUGGGCAUGCGGCGCAUUAGCUAGACGGCGGGGUAACGGCCCACCGUGGCGACGAUGCGUAGGGGUUCUGAGAGGAAGGUCCCCCACACUGGUACUGAGACACGGACCAGACUCCUACGGGAGGCAGCAGUGAGGAAUAUUGGUCAAUGGGAGAGAUCCUGAACCAUUUUUUCCGCGUGAGGGAAGACGGCCCUAUGGGUUGUAAACCUCUUUUGUCGGAGAACAAAACCCGGGACGAGUCCCGGACUGCGUGUAUCCGAAGAAAAAGCAUCGGCUAACUCCGUGCCAGCAGCCGCGGUAAUACGGAGGAUGCGAGCGUUAUCCGGAUUUAUUGGGUUUAAAGGGUGCGUAGGCGGUCUGUUAAGUCAGCGGUAAAAUUGCGGGGCUCAACCCCGUCGAGCCGUUGAAACUGGCAGACUU
rnacentral:rRNA from 1 species